UACGGAGGGGGCUAGCGUUAUUCGGAAUUACUGGGCGUAAAGCGCACGUAGGCGGCUUUGUAAGUCAGAGGUGAAAGCCUGGAGCUUAACUCCAGAACUGCCUUUGAGACUGCAUCGCUUGAAUCCAGGAGAGGUGAGUGGAAUUCCGAAGUUGUAGAGGUGAAAUUCGUAGAUAUUCGGAAGAACACCAGUGGCGAAGGCGGCUCACUGGACUGGUAUUGACGCUGAGGUGCGAAAGCGUGGGGAGCAACAGG
rnacentral:rRNA from 1 species